rnacentral:rRNA from 1 species
AAUCUUGGACAAUGGGCGCAAGCCUGAUCCAGCCAUGCCGCGUGUGUGAAGAAAGCCUUCGGGUUGUAACGCCCCCUCGGCCGGAAAGAAAUCCCGCAGGCUCAUUCCCCGCGCGAAUGACCGUACCGCCAUAAGAAGCUCCGGCUAACACCGUGCCUGCAGCCCCGGUAAUACGUAGGGUGCGAGCGUUAAUCGGAAUUAAUGGGCGUAAAGCGUGCGCAGGCGGUUGAUUAAGACAGGCGAGAAAUACCCGGGCUUAACCUGGGAACUGCGCUUGUGACUGGUCAGCUAGAGUACGGAAGAGGGGGGUGGAAUUCCACGUGUAGCAGUGAAAUGCGUAGAGAUGUGGAGGAACACCGAUGGCGAAGGCAGCCCCCUGGGCCGAUACUGACGCUCAUGCACGAAAGCGUGGGUAGCAAACAGG